AACGCACGAGACCUGCGGACCUGCGGAAGGAUCAUUACCGAGUGCGGGCCCUCGCGGCCCAACCUCCCACCCUUGUCUCUAUACACCUGUUGCUUUGGCGGGCCCACCGGGGCCACCUGGUCGCCGGGGGACGUCCGUCCCCGGGCCCGUGCCCGCCGAAGCGCUCUGUGAACCCUGAUGAAGAUGGGCUGUCUGAGUACUAUGAAAAUUGUCAAAACUUUUAGCAACGGAUCUCUAGAU
rnacentral:misc_RNA from 1 species